ACAAAAGCCUUUUCGAAGCUCAAGUCGACGCCGUUUAUGCCGCCAUGUCGGCUCUUACAUAUGAUGACUUAAAGUUGGUGGUGACGGAGACAGGGUGGCCUUCAGCCGGGGAUGCGGCUGAAGUUGGUGCAAGCCAAGACAACGCGGCGGCGUAUAAUGGUAACUUAGUACGAAGAGUUUUGACCGGAAAUGGAACCCCUUUGAGACCCAACGAUCCACUUAAUGUAUACAUAUUUGCUUUGUUUAACGAGAACCAAAAACCAGGUCCGACAUCAGAGAGAAACUAUGGGUUAUUUUACCCUAAUGAACAAAGGGUAUAUAACAUACCGUUAUCACAAAAGGGGCUGAAUGGUA
rnacentral:lncRNA from 1 species